UUACCUGGUCUUGACAUCCCGGAGACCCUUAGGAAACUAGGGGUGCUCCAUCUGGAAGGAAUCUGGAGACAGGUGCUGCAUGGCUGUCGUCAGCUCGUGUCGUGAGAUGUUGGGUUAAGUCCCGCAACGAGCGCAACCCUUGCCUUUAGUUGCCAGCAGUUCGGCUGGGCACUCUAAAGGGACUGCCGGUGUUAAACCGGAGGAAGGUGGGGAUGACGUCAAGUCCUCAUGGCCUUUAUGACCAGGGCUACACACGUACUACAAUGGCCGAUACAAAGGGCAGCGACACUGCGAGGUGAAGCCAAUCCCGUAAAAUCGGUCUCAGUCCGGAUUGGAGUCUGCAACUCGACUCCAUGAAGUUGGAAUCGCUAGUAAUCGUGGAUCAGCAUGCCACGGUGAAUACGUUCCCGGGCCUU
rnacentral:rRNA from 1 species